AGGUAGUUAAGGCCUGAGCUCGGACAGGGAUGGAGUGUAUGUGAGGGCCAGUGUGCAACUGGAAAUGGUGUUACUGGGAGGAAGGAGGAGCUGAGCAGAUAUGCUGGUUCUGACUUGGGUGACCACAUGGGUGGGUGCUGGUGCCACUGGGACAGAAGACGACAGAUCUUAAUGAGUGCAGGACUCUGGUCUGGUAUCAGGCUAGCUCUCAGUGAUGGCCAUGACUUUCCCUCUCAUAUUGCAGCUUUGUGGCACAACCUGAAGACCCUCACAGUCAACGUCACCAUCUCCACCCUCUGGUAUUCAUCAGACAGGAGCAACAGCUCAGCCACGUUCAACUCCACUGAGAGGGUCCUGCAGAGCCUGGCCUGAGAAGGAUGGGGCACCCACCAUUGUGACGCUGUCUGCACCCACCACACUGAUCCCGUGGGCCACCAUGCCUUUGUGCUGGGAGCGGAGAGCCUCCACCUGUCUGCUCUUCCUCUCGGUGGCUCCAGGCUCUGCAGCCCAGAGUUUAUCCAUCCAGAGAGAGCACCAGCUACAUUUCUGCAUCAUCAUCAGGAACCUCAGCAACCUGGAGCCCACAUCCUCGGAGUACACCGUCCUGCUGAGAGACACCCAGGACCAGGUCUGUCCCCCACAGUAACCACACUGGAGCAGACUCCCUGUGUGC